UACGUAGGGAGCAAGCGUUGUCCGGAAUCAUUGGGCGUAAAGCGCGUGUAGGCGGUCCGGUAAGUCCGCUGUGAAAGUCGGGGGCUCAACCCUCGAAUGCCGGUGGAUACUGUCGGGCUAGAGUACGGAAGAGGCGAGUGGAAUUCCUGGUGUAGCGGUGAAGUGCGCAGAUAUCAGGAGGAACACCAAUUGCGAAGGCAGCUCGCUGGGACGUUACUGACGCUGAGACGCGAAAGCGUGGGGAGCAAACAGG
rnacentral:rRNA from 1 species